rnacentral:rRNA from 1 species
AUUGAACGCUGGCGGCAGGCCUAACACAUGCAAGUCGAGCGGAUGAAGGGAGCUUGCUCCUGGAUUCAGCGGCGGACGGGUGAGUAAUGCCUAGGAAUCUGCCUGGUAGUGGGGGAUAACGUCCUGAAACGGGCGCUAAUACCGCAUACGUCCUGAUGGUGAAAGUGGGGGAUCUUCGGACCUCACGCUAUCUUAUGAGCCUAGGUCGGAUUAGCUAGUUGGUUGGGUAAAGGCCUACCAAGGCGACGAUGCGUAACUGGUCUGAGAGGAUGAUCAGUCACACGGGAACUGAGACACGGUCCAGAGUACUACGGGAGGCAGCAGUGGGGAAUAUUGGACAAUGGGCGAAAGCCUGAUCCAGCAAUGCCGCGUGUGUGAAGAAGGUCUUCGGAUUGUAAAGCACUUUAAGUUGGGAGGAAGGGAAGUAAGUUAAUACCUUGCUGUUUUGACGUUAACAACAGAAUAAGCACCGGCUAACUUCGUG